ensembl:snRNA U6 U6 spliceosomal RNA
GUGCUUGCUUCAGCAGCAUAUAUACUAAAAUUGGAAUAAUAUAGAGAUUAGCAUGGCCCUUGUGCAAGGAUGACAUUCAAAUUCUUGAAGCGCUCCAUAUUUUU